ACGGAAGGCAGCAGUGAGGAAUAUUGGUUAAUGGGCGGAAGCCUGAACCAGCCAUCUCGCGUGCAGGACUACGGCCCUACGGGUCUUAAACUGCUUUUAUGGGGGGAUAAAGUCGGGCAUGCGUGUCCGUUUGCAGGUACCCCAUGAAUAAGGAUCGGCUAACUCCGUGCCAGCAGCCGCGGUAAUACGGAGGAUCCGAGCGUUAUCCGGAUUUAUUGGGUUUAAAGGGUGCGCAGGCGGCCCGUUAAGUCAGCGGUGAAAUUUCGGGGCUCAACCCGGGCACUGCCGUUGAAACUGGGGGGCUUGAGUACGGAUGAGGUCGGCGGAAUGUGACGUGUAGCGGUGAAAUGCAUAGAUAUGUCACAGAACACCGAUUGCGAAGGCAGCCGGCCAAUCCGCAACUGACGCUCAUGCACGAAAACGUGGGGAUCGAACAGGAUUAGAUACCCUGGUA
rnacentral:rRNA from 1 species